rnacentral:lncRNA from 1 species
AUGUUACAAGCUUUCAACACUCAUAACCUCAAAGACUCAAGUUUAAUCAGCUAGAGUUGUCACCUGGUUACUUCAACCAGGAGAAGAUUUAACAUAGGAAAUUAAGCUUCAAAAAAAAUCCACUGGAGGAGUGAGGGCCAGAGCAAGCCACUGUGACCUUUGGGGAACCCAGGAAGUUGCAAGAAUCACAAGAAACCAUCCCACUGCUCCUGCUUUCCACAGCAGCCGGAAGCACUGAGGCAAGCCACUUGCAGCUUUCCCUGAAGCUACGGUGAAACCCCACCUGCUGUCUGUUGCAGUCCCCACAUCGUCCACCUCUGCUAGAGAAACGAUAGUGGCCUCUGCUUCUCCCCUUUCUGUGGAGUUAAUCUUUCCCAACGUGCUCUGAGAUAUAAACGGGCAAAGGAUUACCAUUAUCAACCCCCAGGGGUCCCUCGAUAUGCAGAUUUCCAUAAGCCUAAAACCUAGAAGAAAUACAAAGAAAAGGGAAAGCAUAUUGAAUUCCUCAUCAGAAUUUCAUCCAGAUAUUUCUUAAGUCCAUUCUAGUCUUUUUAGUUUUUGGGCCAAAGGUGUUUGCUAGUUUAUCUUGGGGUUUGCCUCGCGUGCACAUUCUCUAAGUAAACCCCCGCGAUGAGCGCAACAUCUCCUCCUUGUUCCUUAAUAACUGUGGCAUAAUAGUCUAGACUGUCUGUAUCUACUCCCCAGACAGAAAAUACCGAGGUGGGAAAUCCCACAGGAACCGUACAUAAUCCACAUAAUAUGCCUGAACAAUAAUUUAAGAAAAUUAGCAACUAUUCUUAAAUUAGUAAUUGCCCAUAUUUGCUUAUCAAUCCUUUCCCUAUCAAUGUUACCCUGUCUGUAAAGUGAGAAGAUAGUGGGACUUAUUUGAUUGUUGUGAGGAUUUAAUGAGAUUUUAUAUAUGUAUAUAUAGAGAGAGACAGUUUAGAACAGUGCCAGGUUAUUAUAAAUGCAUAAUAAAAGAUAGCUGCUAUCAUCAUCAUCAUCAUCAUCAUCAUCACUCUUUUCCAGAAAAACUGAUGCAUCCACACAGAAGACCUACCAGUGACGGAGUCAAGUGA